rnacentral:rRNA from 1 species
AUGCACCAGACGUGGUGGUCGGACCUCCCGCCGGAACUGCUCCGAGAGGUUUCCUCCCGUCUGCACGUCCCCACCGAUUUCGUCCGGUUCCACGCCGUGUGUAAGCCAUGGAGCGACUCACACGGACCAUCGACAACGACGGGAACUGGUCAGCUCCUGCCGUGGCUCCUGGCGCCCAGCAAGAAGAGCGAGGACUCCCUCACCUUCAGAUGCGUCUUCUCCAACACAAGCUACGUCCCGCCGCCGCCCAUAUCUGAUGGCAGUAGCACCGGGAUAAAUUGGGUGACCAGCGCCGACGGCACCGCCGUCCGCUACUUCACCGCCUUCGAACCCCACGGCCCAACAUUCUACGACCCUCUCGCCGGAGGACCCCCCACCCACCUGCUUCCUGGUAUCUCACCGCAUGGGUUGGGGAAGAAUCCCAGUGGCAUCAUCUACAACGACGGCGCCAUCCUUGUGUACAGCAAACUGGACAGCAUCGACACAUUUACCGCCGAGUUCAGGGCGGCGCUCCUGCGUCCCGGUGACACCGAGUGGAUGUUUAUCCACAAGACUCUCGAAUCCCCCUCCGACCAAGAGUUCUGUGUCGCGUAUCACAAUGGCAAGAUCCAUGUGACCGUUGAGAACAGCCUCUGGCACGUUGUGAGCGUGACCGAGCAGCCCACAGCCGCAACCAACAGCGACGAUGUGCUGGUUCUUAGGCUAUCUUCGAUGCCGCGCCAGUGCGACGGCAACUUGUACGAGCACAGCUAUGUGCUCGAGUCCCGUGGGGAGCUGUUGUGGGUGUCGGUGCACAUUUUGUUCGAUUACCCCGACAAAGAUAAGAAUGGCGUCGACGACCUCGUCGACGCACUCUCGAUGUCCAUCCACACACUUGAGAAGGUCACCAAGGAACCAGAAAAGUUGUUGUGGAUGAGGAAGGAUGGCCGGAGCCUAGAGGACCGCGUGUUGUUCCUAGGGUGGCCCAAUAGUUUCGCCGUGGACGCGUCGCGUAUGGGCAUGAGUGGUGGAUUCGCCUACUUCUUGUACUACGAUGACCAGGGCGGCCGCCUGCAGCAUGAGCGACAUGGCGUGUUCAGGUACAACCUCAUUGAUAACACGACAGAGUUUGUCGAGUGGCUGCCCCAUGGAUUGGACAGCGACAUGUGCAUGUGGUUCCUCCCCCAGGUCAUGGUUGCUCCAAUCCACCACGGUCCAUCUAAUACGCCAAGAAGCAAUAACACUUGUGUUGGGGUGCUGAUGCCCAACCUACCUCUUAUUGCGAAGAGCUCUUGGCUGCAACACUUGUUUAGCAUACUGCAACACUUGUUCAGCAUGUUCAAUAGACUGUUUGGUGGCAAGGUGACAUACUAG